GCAGUCGGUCGGUCUGUCGCGUGCACGGUUUCGUGCAGGAGGAAAGUCCGGGCAACACAGAGCGUCCUACUUCCUAACAGAAAGCUGUCCGCGAGGGUAGAGUAACGCAGAAGAAAAAAACCGCCGCUUCUUUCGGGAAGAGGCAAGGGUGAGAAGGUGGGGUAAGAGCCUACCAGCCAGAUGGUGACAUACUGGGCUGUGCGUCUUAGGAGUUGUAAGGUCAUGUAUACCGGCGUUAUGAGAGUUGCUCGCUCCAUGUCGGAGGGUAGACCGCUAAAGUGUCGUGGCAACACGCCACUCAGAUAAAUGACAGACACCUCGUGUCAUCGACAUGAGGAACAGAACCCGGCUUACAGGCUGACUGCUUUU
rfam:Bacteroides pyogenes JCM 6292 DNA, contig:contig_20.